GAAUGUGAUUGCGUUUACGCUGUUCGAGCUGGAGACGAUUACGAAGAGCUUUCGCUCGGAUUAUAUUCUUGGCGAAGGGGGGUUUGGGACUGUGUACAAGGGUUACAUUGAUGAGAAUGUGCGGGUUGGCCUGAAAUCGCUUCCGGUUGCUGUCAAGGUUCUGAAUAAGGAUGGGCUUCAGGGGCAUCGGGAAUGGCUUACAGAGGUUA
rnacentral:misc_RNA from 1 species